rnacentral:lncRNA from 1 species
CACAAUUAGGGUUCUUCACAAAUCAAAUCUACAGCCGGCACUCAGAAAAACAAACAAACACAUGUAUUUUAAUUUCUUAGAUCUGUUGUUGGUAUUAUUUCAUACGCACGCGGCGAUUGAUUCACAUGAAAAAUUGAGGCGAGCUAAAUCUGUGUUCGUAUGACUCAAUUAGUGAAUUAAAAAAAAAUCGCCGCAAGAAAAAGCCUCUGUGAUAUUUCCGAAGGUAAUAAUUUGGUGGGGGCGUCCUCAUAUCCUAUCGCCUUGGGUAGCGGAUUUCUGCUAUUAUCUCUUGGGAUUGGCCAUGAGUAGUAAGACAUUUCUUUCUUCCUUCUUCUUCUUCCUUAAUUUUUUUUAAUUAAAUUAAUUAAUUAACUAAUUAAUUGUUUAAAUGAUUUUGGCGGCCUGUGAUGAGAAACACAUAUAAAACACACACACCAUCUUUCGGGACUUAAUGGCCCUCCUUAGAGGGCCUUGCUGAUUUUAUUCUGCAAUUCUGAGGCUACCUUUUUUUUUUCUAAAUUUAAAAAAGAAAAUAAAAAUUGAAAAAAAAUUGUGCUUAAUGACGGUCCAGUACUGCUGAGAUUAAUGAGCAGUACUUAACAUACUCUUAAGCUAAAGUAAUUAGUCACUUUUUGUCUUUCAAGUCUCUUUCUUCUUUAUCUAAGUUUGAGACUAUCCACGCUGUGAAACAUCUUUACUUUUUUCAUUUAUCAUUUUCUUUUUUUUUUUGUUUUUUCGACCAUUUUUAUUUUCUACCAUGCUUUUUGAUUAAAUAUGUGACACGUCUUUAAUAAAAUGGAUUGGAAAUUUCAAUUCCUCAUUAAUUCUAUUUAUAAUUAUUUUUUAAUCCAGUGUUGAAUUUACCUUAAUCUUGUUUGCAAAUUCGUUCACGUAUAAGCUGCUAGAUUAAGGUCUCAUUUAUAAUAUUAAUAGUUUAACUAGUAUAUUUUUCAGACGGCACGUUUAUUUUAUUAAAUAAAAUUAAUUAUAUAUAAUACUGGUAAUUAACAAAUUCAAUAGAAAUCUUGUAAAUUCAAUUCUACUUCAGUGACAUAAUUUCUCAAUUAUUUUUUAAUUGGUAAAAGUUACAAAUCGAAAUGAAUAUAUAAAUACCUUGAAUGCUAGAUGAGAUAAUGGGUAAUACCUUUACUUUGUUAUGUCAUAAUUGUGUAACUUAACAAAGUGUAAACUUCAAUUGUAUAAAAAAUAUUACUUUGUUAUGUCAUAAUUUUGAAAUUUAACUAUUUUGGAAUAUAAAUGUAAUCUUCUAUUAGCAAAGACUACUAUUUCUAUAAAGUGUAAACUUUAAUUGGCAAAAAUUUCACUUUCAAAAUAUUAAGUUUAACAAAUUGUAUCUUUCACUUGCGACUCGCCCGUUGUGCGGAUUUUUUUGUUCGAUUUACAAUUAUAAAUAAUCUAUAUUAUAUGGUUCCAUUAUGUAGUUUCUCAAAUUGCAAAAUAAAGAAAAAAAAAUGAGAAUAUUUUUUUUUAAUCGAGAACGGAUUGCUAAUGUCUUCCACUUAUUGAAUAGGGUUCUAUGCUCGGUCCGUGACCCCUGGAUGCCGAAGGCGCCCUUGGGGUUAUCUCGUAGUUCCUAUGGGGUGGAGAUGAUGGGUCGGUCCAUUGAUUUUCCUUCCCUUUUUUUUGCCACAUUUCGCUCAAAGGGUUGAAGGGAGAUAGUGCAUCAAGUUGUUCGCAAGGGCCAACUUGAUCCUCUUCCCUCAGGGACCCUGGGAGAGCCACCGACUCCAACUAUUGUCCAUGUAUGAUCCAUACUAGAUUUGACCAAUUGCCCAUCCUACCUCCUCCUUUGUCUUAGUAGAGUCUUUUAGUGGCAUGUUUGGUCCUCUUUCCCGUUACUUAGACAAAAGGACCCGUAAGAGCAACUGUAAUCCAAAAAAUUCAAAAUUGAAUUAUCAAAUAUUCAAUUGAAAUUUGAGAUAACAAUUUAAUAUUGAUUAAAAUUUAUCUAUUCCAACCAUGAUUAUUAAAUUAAUUAUCAAUUGGAAGUUUGUGGGUGAUUUUAUUUUUAAUUGUCACAUCUCAAUUUAUGAUUUGAUGUUUAUAUGAUUAU